GUCAACUGUCAUCGUUCAGGUUCCGUAAAGGAAGAAAAGGGAACUCCGUGCGAAUCGGAGACGGGCCCGCCGCUGUAACCGGGGACGAAUGUUGCACGUACGUCACUGAUCCAUCCGAUCGGGAAGACGCAACGAGUAGGAAGAGCCGGAAGUCAGAAGACCUGCCUGAAUUGGAAGACUUGU
rnacentral:ncRNA from 2 species